AUUGAACGCUGGCGGAAUGCUUUACACAUGCAAGUCGAACGGCAGCACGGACUUCGGUCUGGUGGCGAGUGGCGAACGGGUGAGUAAUGUAUCGGAACGUGCCCAGUCGUGGGGGAUAACGUAGUGAAAAUCACGCUAAUACCGCAUACGAUCUAUGGAUGAAAGCGGGGGAUCGCAAGCCCUCGCGCGAUUGGGGCGGCCGAUAUUAGAUUAGGUAGUUGGUGGGGUAAAGGCCCACCAAGCCAACGAUCUGUAGCUGGUCUGAGAGGACGACCAGCCACACUGGAACUGAGACACGGUCCAGACUCCUACGGGAGGCAGCAGUGGGGAAUUUUGGACAAUGGGCGAAAGCCUGAUCCAGCCAUUCCGCGUGCAGGAUGAAGGCCCUCGGGUUGUAAACUGCUUUUGUACAGAACGAAAAGGUUUCUACUAAUACUAGGAGCUCAUGACGGUACUGUAAGAAUAAGCACCGGCUAACUACGUGCCAGCAGCCGCAGUAA
rnacentral:rRNA from 1 species